GUACACGCUGUGACUAGCAUAUCAAUAAGCGGAGGAAAAGAAACUAACAAGGAUUCCCCUAGUAACGGCGAGUGAAGCGGGAAGAGCUCAAAUUUGAAAUCUUAAAGGGUUUCCCUUUACGAAUUGUAGUUUAAAGAAGUGUUUUCUGUUGAGGUUUUGGUAAAAGUUCUUUGGAAUAGGACAUCAUAGAGGGUGAGAAUCCCGUAUUUGACCUUUACUUUCAACUUUGUGAUACACUUUCAAAGAGUCGGAUUGUUUGGGAAUGCAGUCCAAAAUGGGUGGUAAAUUUCAUCUAAAGCUAAAUAUUGGCGAGAGACCGAUAGCGAACAAGUACCGUGAGGGAAAGAUGAAAAGAACUUUGAAAAGAGAGUUAAACAGUACGUGAAAUUGUCAAAAGGGAAGCGUUUGACACCAGUGUUGUUUUUCUGAAAAUCAAUUAAAGAACUGUUUAUGCUAAGUUGUUUAGACUUUAUCAGCUAACUGUUUAGUUUUGAGCUUUUCUUUAAUGCACUUUUCAGUUAACAAGUCAACAUCCAAUUUCUUUUGCUGUAAAAAAGCUUGAGGAAGGUGGCUUGAGAUUCGUCUUAAGUGUUUAUAGCCUCUUGCCUAUGCAGUCGGAGAGAUUGAGGUCUGCAGCGUAGAUCCUUCGGGGCUAAAUGCAUUUGUGCUAAGUUAUAGCAUUUUAUAGACAACUUGUUGACUAUGAUUUGUCUUGUAGCUUACUCGCUUAUGUUAUUUUACCUACGCUUAGGAUGUUGACAGCAGUAUAGACUGU
rnacentral:rRNA from 1 species